GGGGGAAGAUUGCACAAUGGGCGCAAGCCUGAUGCAGCCAUGCCGCGUGUGUGAAGAAGGCCUUCGGGUUGUAAAGCACUUUCAGCGGGGAGGAAGGCGAUAAGGUUAAUAACCUUGUCGAUUGACGUUACCCGCAGAAGAAGCACCGGCUAACUCCGUGCCAGCAGCCGCGGUAAUACGGAGGGUGCAAGCGUUAAUCGGAAUUACUGGGCGUAAAGCGCACGCAGGCGGUUUGUUAAGUCAGAUGUGAAAUCCCCGGGCUCAACCUGGGAACUGCAGCUGAUACUGGCAAGCUUGAGUCUCGUAGAGGGGGGUAGAAUUCCAGGUGUAGCGGUGAAAUGCGGAGAGAUCUGGAGGAAUACCGGUGGCGAAGGCGGCCCCCUGGACGAAGACUGACGCUCAGGUGCGAAAGCGUGGGGAGCAAACAGG
rnacentral:rRNA from 1 species